rnacentral:rRNA from 1 species
CAUACCUAUUCGAAGGGAUAGGGUCGGUUUGGCCGGAUUUCACACAGGUGUUGCAUGGCUGUCGUCAGCUCGUGUCAUGAGAUGUUGGGUUAAGUCCCGCAACGAGCGCAACCCUCAUCCUUAGUUACCAUCAGGUUAUGCUGGGGACUUUAAGGAAACUGCCAGUGAUAAACUGGAGGAAGGUGGAGAUGAUGUCAAGUCAUCAUGGCCCUUAUGGAGUGGGCUACACACGUGCUACAAUGGUGAUUACAAUGGGCUGCAAGGUCGCAAGGCUGAGCUAAUCCUAAAAAAUCAUCUCAGUUCGGAUUGUUCUCUGCAACUCGAGAGCAUGAAGUUGGAAUCGCUAGUAAUCGUGGAUCAGCAUGCUACGGUGAAUACGUUCUCGGGUCUUGUACACACUGCCCGUCACGCCAUGGGAAUUGGUUUCACUCGAAGCU